rnacentral:lncRNA from 1 species
UCACACUGGGGGAAAAGAAUUCCAAAGGAAAAUAAAUCCAUUGGAGAGACACAAGCUGACUCCUGAGGAGAAGCAAAAGAACACUCCACUGGGGAAGUAACAAAGAAAUGAGAUGUUACCAGGCAUGCGGAUAACAAACUCAGGAAAAUCUGACUCCACAAGGGGGACCGAGGUCAUAAUAGGGAGCAGAAAGGAGGGAACACCAAUGAUACCGGUUACUGGGUAUAUAAUAGGUGACCGACCAAGGCGUGAAUUGGUGUGUGUUCC